rnacentral:rRNA from 1 species
AGUGAACGCUGGCGGUAGGCCUAACACAUGCAAGUCGAACGGCAGCACAGGAGAGCUUGCUCUCUGGUUGGUGAGUGGCGGACGGGUGAGGAAUACAUCGGAAUCUACUCUGUCGUGGGGGAUAACGUAGGGAAACUUACGCUAAUACCGCAUACGACCUACGGGUGAAAGCAGGGGAACUUCGGACCUUGCGCGAUUGAAUGAGCCGAUGUCGGAUUAGCUAGUUGGCGGGGUAAAGGCCCACCAAGGCGACGGUCCGUAGCUGGUCUGAGAGGAUGAUCAGCCACACUGGAACUGGGACACGGUCCAGACUCCUACGGGAGGCAGCAGUGGGGAAUAUUGGACAAUGGGCGCAAGCCUGAUCCAGCCAUACCGCGUGGGUGAAGAAGGCCUUCGGGUUGUAAAGCCCUUUUGUUGGGAAAGAAAUCCAGCUGGCUAAUACCCGGUUGGGAUGACGGUACCCAAAGAAUAAGCACCGGCUAACUUCGUGCCAGCAGCCGCCGCCG